UGGUGUUCUCACUUCGGCGGUACAUAUGGAACGAUACAGAGAAGAUUAGCAUGGCCCCUGCGCAAGGAUGCCACGCCAAAUCGUGAAGCAUUCCACUUUUUC